rnacentral:misc_RNA from 1 species
CCAAUGAUUAGGGAACCAGUUGAGGUUGAUAGAUCUCCUGGUUGCUAAAAUCAAAUACCCAUCUUUGUGCACCUUUUUUAUGUCUCUGGUGGUCGCAAGAGAAGUCUCUUAUUUGGAGGAUCUCUUCUAGUUCAUUUUGAUCCUCGGACAAAUGAAUGAAGCCACCAAAUGGUUGCUAUAACACACCUUUUUUGCCGUCCAAAAUAUCUGUCUAACAUUGAUUUGUGUAAAAUACAUAAAA